rnacentral:rRNA from 1 species
GAUGAACGCUGGCGGCGUGCCUAAUACAUGCAAGUCGAGCGAACAGAUGAGGAGCCUGCUCCUCUGACGUUAGCGGCGGACGGGUGAGUAACACGUGGAUAACCUACCUAUAAGACUGGGAUAACUUCGGGAAACCGGAGCUAAUACCGGAUAAUAUAUUGAACCGCAUGGUUCAAUAGUGAAAGACGGUUUUGCUGUCACUUAUAGAUGGAUCCGCGCCGCAUUAGCUAGUUGGUAAGGUAACGGCUUACCAAGGCAACGAUGCGUAGCCGACCUGAGAGGGUGAUCGGCCACACUGGAACUGAGACACGGUCCAGACUCCUACGGGAGGCAGCAGUAGGGAAUCUUCCGCGAUGGGCGAAAGCCUGACGGAGCAACGCCGCGUGAGUGAUGAAGGUCUUCGGAUCGUAAAACUCUGUUAUUAGGGAAGAACAAAUGUGUAAGUAACUAUGCACGUCUUGACGGUACCUAAUCAGAAAGCCACGGCUAACUACGU